rnacentral:rRNA from 1 species
AGAGUUUGAUCAUGGCUCAGAACGAACGCUGGCGGCGUGCCUAACACAUGCAAGUCGAACGUGAUUAGAGAGCUUGCUCUCUAUGAAAGUGGCGCACGGGUGAGUAACGCGUAGAUAAUCUGCCUGAUGAUCCGGGAUAACAUUUCGAAAGGGGUGCUAAUACCGGAUAAGCCCACGGGCUCUUCGGAGCUUGCGGGAAAAGGGGGGGACCUUCGGGCCUUCCGUCAUCAGAUGAGUCUGCGUACCAUUAGCUAGUUGGUAGGGUAAAGGCCUACCAAGGGGACGAUGGUUAGCUGGUCUGAGAGGAUGAUCAGCCACACUGGAACUGAGACACGGUCCAGACUCCUACGGGAGGCAGCAGUGGGGAAUUUUGCGCAAUGGGGGAAACCCUGACGCAGCAACGCCGCGUGAGUGAUGAAGGCCCUUGGGUCGUAAAGCUCUGUCAGAGGGAAAGAAAUGUGGGCGGCUAAUAUCCGUUCCACUUGACGGUACCCUCAAAGGAAGCACCGGCUAACUCCGUGCCAGCAGCCGCGGUAAUACGGAGGGUGCGAGCGUUGUUCGGAUUUAUUGGGCGUAACGCGCGUGUAGGCGGUUUUAUAAGUCUGAUGUGAAAGCCCCGGGCUCAACCUGGGAAGUGCAUUGGAUACUGUAAGACUUGAGUACGGGAGAGGGCAGUGGAAUUCCUAGUGUAGGAGUGAAAUCCGUAGAUAUUAGGAGGAACACCGGUGGCGAAGGCGGCUGCCUGGACCGAUACUGACGCUGAGACGCGAAAGCGUGGGUAGCAAACAGGAUUAGAUACCCUGGUAGUCCACGCCGUAAACGAUGAGUACUAGGUGUUGCGGGUAUUGACCCCCUGCAGUGCCGCAGCUAACGCAUUAAGUACUCCGCCUGGGAAGUACGGUCGCAGACUAAAACUCAAGGAAUUGACGGGGGCCCGCACAAGCGUGGAAGCAUGUGGUAUUCGACGCAACGCGCAGAACUACCUGGGCUUGAACAUCACGGGAACCUCUUWUUGGAAAG